rnacentral:rRNA from 1 species
UACGUAGGGUGCAAGCGUUAAUCGGAAUUACUGGGCGUAAAGCGCGCGUAGGUGGUUUGUUAAGUUGAAUGUGAAAUCCCCGGGCUCAACCUGGGAACUGCAUCCAAAACUGGCGAGCUAGAGUAUGGUAGAGGGUGGUGGAAUUUCCUGUGUAGCGGUGAAAUGCGUAGAUAUAGGAAGGAACACCAGUGGCGAAGGCGACCACCUGGACUGAUACUGACACUGAGGUGCGAAAGCGUGGGGAGCAAACAGG